rnacentral:tRNA from 1 species
GCCUGAGUGGCUUAGUCGGUUAAGCAUCUGACUUUGGCUCAGGUCAUGAUUUUACAGUUUGUGGGUUCGAGCCCCGCGUCGGGCU